ACCUGGCGAACUGUAUUCCCGCGGGGGUUCGACUGGGCGCGCGAUCCAGUUGACUUACUCCAAGGCGCGAGAUCCCGCGAGAGCAGGAACUUGAACAUUUCCCCUAAAGCAAGAGGGGAGCGUUGUUAGGGCUUAGCUGUCAGGGAGGGUGCGUGCCGGUUCGCUGUGUGGUGUAGAGGGAAGAAGGGGUUAGUUCUCCUCAAGCGGAGGUGAUUAUUCCCGCGCUCUUGGUCAACAUUUUCGGUAUUUUCUAAGCUCAGGAACGCGAACCCACGAAGGACUGGGUUAAGUAUUGUUACCUGAGAGAAAACCAUCCGUACUGCCUGGCUUCACAACCGCGUGUGGGUGCUGAGCCUGGAGUGUUGCAUGGCCCAGAACAGAGCCUUGUGCAGGAGGCCUGGGACCUAAGAGACUGGCACGGCCUAAUUUUGCCAUCGCCUUCUUCAUGGGGAGAAUGGCCCUGGAGAGGAUUUGGAACAAGCUUAGAUUGAAACAAAAGAAGACCAGAGCGCACCUGACCCACCCACCUGGUGUCUGAGUUUCUACAAAAAGUGGCUGGUUUGAGAGCUCAUUUUAUGAGGGCUCUAAAAAGCUGUAAGUGGGGGCACCUGGGUGGCUCAGUUGGUUAAGCGUCUGCCUUCGGCUCAGGUCAUGAUCCUGGGGUCCUGGGAUCAAGCCCCGCCUCUGGGUCCCUGCUCAGUGGGGAGUCUGUUUCUCCCUCUGACCCUCCCCUGUCUCAUGUUCUGUCUCUCUCUCAAAUAAAUAAAUAAAAUCUUUAAAAAAAAAAUAAAAAUAAAAAGCUGUAAGUGAUCUGUGAAAACCUCUAAGUCCCACACCUUUGUUAUGCAGGCUCCUUCGCUUAUGUCAGCACAGGGUGGGCUGGGAGAAUGUGGGUCCUGGUGAGCCAUGGGCCAUGUGACUCUGUCCUGACUGUGGGUUCCCAAGCUGGCUCUUGUUCCGGGUGUGACAUUAAAUAGAGUCCAAGUACUAAGAAAAAAAAUUCUUAAAUGACAUACAAAAUAUGGAAAAGCUCACAGGAAGGAAGACUAUUCUAUCAAGAUCCUAAAAAGGCUAUCUUAACUGCAAUUUUGAGUCUGGAGAAUGGAGCUAAUGCUUAUCCAAAAAAGGUAGUCAGUUUAGUGUUUCUAUCUAUGUCUGUAUUUAAUAAAUUCCUUGCUCCAACAUAAAGUAAUUCCAAAUCAGAGCCAAGUAUAUUUAUCCCAAAGAAUUUUCAGUGUAACCUCUAAUCUAGCUUAGUUCUCAGUGCCUUUGAUUUCUUACUGUAUGAUGUUGAUAUAUUUUUAUUAUAUUCAUAACAAUAGCUAACAUUUAUUGAGGGACUUACCAUGUGUGGGGUAGUAUACUUUAUAAUGCAUUUAUUUUUAAGAUAGCAACUAAUAUCCUCAUAAUUCAGAUACAUUUAUUCAUUUAACACAUUUUUAUUGUUCUUUACUAUGUACCAGGCACAGAGGAUAGAGCAAUUAAUAAAAAAGGCAAAGUUUCUGCCCUGAGAGAACAUUCAUUCUGGUGGGCGAGAUGAACAUGGAAGGAACAAAUACGUAUAUUACUUUGGUGGGUCAUAAGAAUGCUCCUUGCAGAUGUCCAACAACAUUAUUGACCAAGGGCCCCAGUUCUGGUGCACUGUGACCUCCAUCACUUCAUUCGGGCCUAGGCUGCCUUCCAGUCUGUUCCCAGCCGAUGACUGACUGUGACAGGGACACUAAGGCAGAACCGCUUCAGGGAAACAGGGCCUCUCCUGCAGGUGACUUUGGCUCAAGGAUCCUCCAGCAGCUGCACUGCAUCUUCCCUCGACUGCAUGCUAGUGUGAAACAAGUCAGUGGGGAACAGUCAGGAACAAGAGACUCCUUGAAGUCUCUUGGCUCUCCCAGCCCUCUGGACUCCUUCCCCCUUUUCACUUUGAGGGCAUUUUUCCUAAUACAAUUUUUUCAGAUUUAACCCCACCUUGACAUCUGCUUCUCAGAGGACCCAGACUAACAUAUUAUGUUAGGGAGUAAUAAGUGCUAUUUUAAAAAAGCACAAUAAUGGACACCUGGGUGGCUCAGUCGGUUAAGUGUCCGACUCUUGAUUUUGGCUUGGGUCAUGAUCUCGGUGUCGCAAGAUCAAGCCCCGCAUCUGCAUGGGAUUCUCCCCCUUACCCCCUGCAUGUGCGCAUGCUCUCUCUUUCUCAAAUAAAUAAAUAAAAUCUUUUUAAAAAAGCACAAUAAGGUGUUAGAAAUAUAUGCUCUGGAUUAAGGAUGGUCAGGGAAGGUCUCAGACAGAGGUAGCACUUGAGUCACAUAAAGAAUUGGAGAAAACGGAUUUACAGAGUGAAGUGAAUUGCUUGAGAGUACAUCGCUGAUUUGUGGUAGAUCAGCCCCCAGCUGGCACCUUCAAAAUGACCACUUUUAUGUUAUCUGUAAGUACGUGAUGAUACAGAAAAUGUACUGAGAGUAUCUGUUUGGGGGGCAGUUGUGUACAUGAAGAAUUAGAAGUACUUCAAAAGGUAUGAGGAGAAACCUGCAGAAAGCACUAAAUGACACAAUUAAUUCCUGCCCAGGCUAGCAUGAACUUCCUUUCAGCCUGCUCCAUUCUGGCAUUCCUUUUUUGCCCCUUUCAUUUAAAUUUAUUUUGCUAGUGCUGCAGCUUCUAUACUAGUUCUUCAAUCAGCAGUUUUAAAAUAGGGUAUGACACUGAAUUUAUCUUUUUUCCUUCUGACUUUUUCCGGUCCUGUUUCCUGAAACAUCUCCAUCCCCUACAGUGCCUAAGCUGUCACUGAAAUGUGUUUCAAAAUAUAACACAGUAAAACAUAACACAGUACAGAAAAAUAAGCACAUUCUUUUUGGAGCUGAACCAUAACCUCUUAAAAUUAGCAUUUCCCCCCCAUCUGCCCAUACGGACCAAAUAUUCCUAUUGAUAUCACAUUAUAUUGAGAAAGCAGAAAAAGUUUCUAUUCCUGGAUUGAAAUCCAGCCCUUUUAAGGAAUUCAAAUAGAGACACACCCUGUUCUUUAUCUGAUAACACUCCAGCUUCAGCCCUGGAAAUCUUUACACAAUUUUACUUAUUUUUUUUCUUGGCUCUGGAAAGUUGAACUUUUUAAAGUAUUAUAAUUUUCCAAAAACUUGUUGAUAUAUUGGUGAAGUGCUUUGAUCAGUAGAUUCCCCUUGUUGUUCUCUGAGCAGAAGCUGUCACUCUUCCACCUUUCAUAGAAAGCAAACCACUCUUCUUCCUACAGAAUAGAGCAUGUGGAGGUCGAAAGUAUUUUUCAUAAGAAGCAUUCAAAGCAAUACUUCCCUAAGCUUAAUAAAAAGCAGUUGUGGCUGAGAAACUGCAAUGAUGUCAUGUAAGUUUUAUCUUGCCUAAGCAGCAGAGUGAGGAAAUUCCAGAAUUAAUAAGUCUGCUGGUACAGCUGUGCCCUGAGUUGGAAAGUUCAGGAUGUUCUUUUCAUACUCACGACUGGACAUUUUGCUCCACAUUAGCCUUUGCAAGAAUAAUUGGCUCCCUCCAUUUCCAAGCUGCUAAAACAUUUAUAAAUGGAUCUAUUUAGAAAAUGUAAAAGUUUAAAUGGAUUCAAUAAAUGGUCACUUAGACUCAAAAUUAUUGUUUAUAUUUGCCUUGAUUCUGUAAUGACCUGUAAUUAGUUAUUUUUAAUUAUCAAGUGCCUUUGAAUAGUGAGUUAAGAAAUGGAAAAUCCUAACUUUGAGAAAUGAUUGAAGGGAGUAGAGUUAAAAACCAAGAAUGGUCUUUUUAACCAUAGCUCUAGUUAUUAAUGUGGCUCUAGUUAUUAUCUAGAGAACAAUUGGCCAGCUGAUCAUCAGGAAAUUGGCUUACAUAAAAUAAGAGAUAUAAUUUCAUGAUCCGGAAGUCUGUUGAACAGUAUAAUGGAAAUUGAGAGAGUUCUGUCUAGUUUUGUAAAGUAGAAAAUAUUUUCUUUAAAGGAAUGGCUUUGGUGUAUUAUCACACUAGAUGAUUUCUUUCAACCUUACGGUACUUAGUGACAUGCACUCCUUUCCUUUCUUUCCUCUUCUUUCCUCCUUUGCCUCUGCAGGGGAAAGAAAAGGAAGAUACACAGUGCUGAGCAGAAAUGAGCAAAUUUAAUCAGAGUUCGCUUUUGUGGUUCUCAAAUUUCAAAAUUAAAUAUGCAUGUUGCUUGUUUUAUUGGGUUCAUGUUCAGUAUAGCCUGACAGAGCAGCCUUCUCUGAUCAUGAGUGCCUGAGUGACUUUGGAGGGGGUCUCUGAAUUUGUCCAGUUUAUAGCUGUAUUUGCCUCAAACUAAGAUAAUGGAGAUUUAUUCUUAUUUUGUCUAAUGUAAAAAAAUAGCCUAAGGCUGAAUAUAUUUUAGAGCCAGACUUACCAAGUUCUCCUAGAAUUAAGCAAAUCACCUUAGUUCUCUAAGGCUCAAUUUUCUUAUAUAAUAUUGAGAUUAUUUCUAAUACAUUACUCACAGGAUAAUUAUGUAAAUAAAAUAUUACAAAUAUAUGUUAAGAAGCCUUUAUAAAACCAUGAGUACAGUGCCUGGCAUUUAAUAGUCCAUCAAUGAAAGUUAUUUUUAUUCUUUUACUUUUUCUUUUAAUUUUCUUUCUCCUUUUUCCAUUUUUCAUGUAUACAAAUAUGACUGGAAAAGAUAUCACAGAUUUUCUGCUGUUCUAAAUAGACUCUCAUAUUUCUUCAGACUUGGAAAAAUUUAGCUGUUUUUCAGGGCAAUGGAAACCUAUUCAAAAUUCCUUUCAAAUUCUCGAUUGUGUAGCAACCAGAGUAUGACAUUUUGGCAUUUCUUUUUUUUUUUUUUUUUUAAAGAUUUUACUUAUUUAUUUGAGAGAGAGAGAAUGAGAGAGAGCACACGAGAAGGGGGAGGGUCAGAGGGAGAAGCAGACUCCCUGCUGAGCAGGGAGCCCGAUGCGGGACUUGAUCUCCAGGAUCAUGACCUGAGCCGAAGGCAGUCGCUUAACCAACUGAGCCACCCAGGUGCCCGACAUUUUGGCAUUUCUAAAGGUGUCAGACAGCUGAGCUAAAAUUCAUACACACUUCCAGGAAAGGAAGAAAUACAAUAGUGAACAGAGAGUUAUUCCAUCAUUUUCUAUCCAAUCUUAAAAAAAAAAACAAAAAAACUUAAGAUUUUCCCUUUUUAAAUACUGCUUUAUGGGAGUUGCAGAGCUGGGAGUAUUGUUCUUUAGCUAGCAUAUUUAAUCGCUGGGCCCCCUUUCGGUGGUUGACAGAAUGGUGAUAUUGAGCAUACAGUUUAAUUACUUGGAGAUGGUUGAAAGCAUGCAAUAAAAUUUCAAUUUAAUGAGAAAUGAUAACUCAUUUCAAACUGCUAAUAAAAACUAAAUGAUUUCUUCAUAAUGCAUAAUAGAAUAUGACUAAUUUUUAUUUUUUAAAACAUUAAAAAUGGACCAAAAAAUGGCAUGAUGGGAGCCUUACAUCUAGUUUAUCACAGAUGCCAAUGUUAUUAUUUUAAAACAGAUAAACACCAAAACUUAAAUAAAACUAAGUUAUCUUAAAGAUAUAUUUUAAAUUAUACAAAUUCUCUAUAAUUUCAGUAUGUAUUAAUACAAUACUUUGAUAUUGCUACUUUCUAGAGAUUGCAUUUUUUCAUUAGCAGUUUUUAAAAAAAUUUCUCUGCUUACAAGACUAGAGGAUGAUUAAAACAACCACCAAUUCCAACACUGAAUACACAGAUUCUUUUGUAAAUAUGUAAUGUUGUUAUGUGGCAUUUUCUUUAUGAUCCAUUCUCCUUCCUAAACUUAGCCUGGUGCAUAGUUUUCUAUGACUGAGGCAUUCCUUCUCUGGCAUAAACAU